UACGAAGGGAGCGAGCGUUGUUCGGAAUCACUGGGUUUAAAGGGUGCGUAGGUGGAUCUGUAAGUCAGUGGUGAAAUCUCCAAGCUUAACUUGGAACUGCCGUUGAUACUAUAGAUCUUGAAUGCUGUGGAGGUGAGCGGAAUAUGUCAUGUAGCGGUGAAAUGCUUAGAUAUGACAUAGAACACCAAUGCGAAGGCAGCUCACUACCCAGAUAUUGACACUGAGGCACGAAAGCGCGGGGAUCAAACGG
rnacentral:rRNA from 1 species